rnacentral:rRNA from 1 species
UACGGAAGGGGCAAGCGUUGUUCGGAAUUAUUGGGCGUAAAGGGCGCGUAGGCGGCUUUGCAAGUGGCGGGUGAAAUCCCUCGGCUUUAACCGAGGAACUGCCUGUCAAACUGCAUGGCUUGAGACCAGGAGAGGUGAGUGGAAUUCCCAGUGUAGCGGUGAAAUGCGUAGAUAUUGGGAGGAACACCAGUGGCGAAGGCGGCUCACUGGACUGGUACUGACGCUGAUGCGCGAAAGCGUGGGGAG